CGUAGGUGGCAAGCGUUGUCCGGAAUUAUUGGGCGUAAAGCGCGCGCAGGCGGGAUAUCAAGUCUGUCUUAAAAGUUCGGGGCUCAACCCCGUGAUGGGAUGGAAACUGAUAUUCUUGAGUGUCGGAGAGGAAAGUGGAAUUCCCAGUGUAGCGGUGAAAUGCGUAGAUAUUGGGAGGAACACCAGUGGCGAAGGCGACUUUCUGGACGAUGUCUGACGCUGAGGCGCGAAAGCCAGGGAAGUGAACGGGAUUAGAUACCCCGGUAAUCCUGGCCGUAAACGAUGGGUACUAGGUGUAGAGGGUAUCGACCCCUUCUGUGCCGGAGUUAACGCAAUAAGUACCCCGCCUGGGGAGUACGGCCGCAAGGUUG
rnacentral:rRNA from 1 species